GUGGGGAAUAUUGCGCAAUGGGGGAAACCCUGACGCAGCAACGCCGCGUGAAGGAUGAAGGCUUUCGGGUUGUAAACUUCUUUGAUGAGGGACGAAAAAAAUGACGGUACCUCAAAAACAAGCCACGGCUAACUACGUGCCAGCAGCCGCGGUAAUACGUAGGUGGCGAGCGUUGUCCGGAAUUACUGGGUGUAAAGGGCGUGUAGGCGGGGAUGUAAGUCAGAUGUGAAAUACCCGGGCUUAACUUGGGUGCUGCAUCUGAAACUAUAUUUCUUGAGUGCCGGAGAGGAAAGCGGAAUUCCCAGUGUAGCGGUGAAAUGCGUAGAUAUUGGGAGGAACACCAGUGGCGAAGGCGGCUUUCUGGACGGUAACUGACGCUGAGGCGCGAAAGCGUGGGGAGCAAACAGGAUUAGAAACCCUGGUAGUCC
rnacentral:rRNA from 1 species